GAUGAACGCUGGCGGCGUGCCUAAUACAUGCAAGUCGAGCGAACAGACGAGGAGCUUGCUCCUCUGACGUUAGCGGCGGACGGGUGAGUAACACGUGGAUAACCUACCUAUAAGACUGGGAUAACUUCGGGAAACCGGAGCUAAUACCGGAUAAUAUAUUGUACCGCAUGGUUCAAUAGUGAAAGACGGUUUUGCUGUCACUUAUAGAUGGAUCCGCGCCGCAUUAGCUAGUUGGUAAGGUAACGGCUUACCAAGGCGACGAUGCGUAGCCGACCUGAGAGGGUGAUCGGCCACACUGGAACUGAGACACGGUCCAGACUCCUACGGGAGGCAGCAGUAGGGAAUCUUCCGCAAUGGGCGAAAGCCUGACGGAGCAACGCCGCGUGAGUGAUGAAGGUCUUCGGAUCGUAAAACUCUGUUAUUAGGGAAGAACAAAUGUGUAAGUAACUAUGCACGUCUUGACGGUACCUAAUCAGAAAGCCACGGCUAACUACGUG
rnacentral:rRNA from 1 species